rnacentral:lncRNA from 1 species
GGAGAUUCUUAGUAUAUGGAGUUAGUAAAUGGAGAGUCUUCCAUUUAUGGCUAAUCAGACCUGGCUUCCUGGCCUGGAUGAUGUUAAGGUCCUCUUUCUGAUCUGUGCAGGAAGAAAUAAGCUAAGAUUUAUUUGGCAUGUAGCAGACCUGAAGUUAGACCCGAAGGUAACAGCUCAGACUGUUCUUUCUUUAGAUAAUGAUUAUGCAGGGAAAAGCAAGGAGUUGAUUUUAAAAAUCAAAAUUAGUUCUGUCACAAAAGAACAGAGCUCAUACCCAAAGGGAAGAAAAGUAACCUUAAUUGGUGUGACCUUCUGCUGUUACUCAGAAGCCUUUGGAGUCUGUCCCUGAGGUGGGUACCUUAUGGAUUAGCCAAUAUGUAACCAACAUAUAAAAGAGUGGAACUUUAGACAUACACUGGGGAGGCUGAAACUCUAAACUUCUAAUUUCUAACCCUCUACCAGUGAGUCAAGUGGCUUAAAGUAUGUCAUGGGAACACUGGGUAACCUAUUAACAGCACAAACAAAAACAACAUGCUCAAAUGCUUUCAAAGAAAGACAUUUUAAACACAAGAUAUUAUCAUUAUUGUACUUAGAAUAAGGAAAUAAAGCCCAUUGCUAUAGUCCUAAAAUAUUUCCUCUGGAGCUUAAUUUUCCCAGUAUUUAAUGAAUGUUUUGGUCCAUUUCCUUGCAAAUGUGUGAGAAGGCCAGAGGAGUAGAAGAAGGUGGGGCCCUGGAUUAUCAAAGAAUAACACGGUAGGAAAAUAUAGGAGCAUUUAGAUAUUCAAAAUCUAAAGUUUGCCACUGAACUACAUUUAUUAUUUAUAGAUUAUUUUUAAGACUUAGAAGUUGUCUUCUGAUGUUUGGGUAGCUAGAAAGGUA